rnacentral:rRNA from 1 species
AAGGUUUCCGUAGGUGAACCUGCGGAAGGAUCAUUAUUGAACAAACCGGUGUUGGCUGAGCUGGCCUCUUUGGAGGCAUGUGCACGGUCCACCAUUGUUUCAUCCUUCUCUUCCACCUGUGCACUUCUGUGGGCCCACUCCAGCACACUUUGUGCGCUGGAAUCUGGCGCCUACGUUUUACUACCCACACCAUUGAAUGUUAAGAACGCAUGAAUAGGGCAUUUGCCCAUAAAACCUUAUACAACUUUCAACAACGGAUCUCUUGGCUCUCGCAUCGAUGAAGAACGCAGCGAAAUGCGAUAAGUAAUGUGAAUUGCAGAAUUCAGUGAAUCAUCGAAUCUUUGAACGCACCUUGCGCUCCUUGGCAUUCCGAGGAGCAUGCCUGUUUGAGUGUCAUUAAAUCAUCAACCACCUCAUCUUUUGAGAGGGUUGGACUUGGAGGUUCUGCUGGCCCCGUUCUCUGGGACCGGCUCCUCUGAAAUGCAUUAGCAGGGGUUCAUCUUGGCGAUCUGCAGCCUAGUGUGAUAGUCAUAUCUACACUUGGAGAGGUCCCCAUUCACCCAGCUUCCAGCCGUCCGCUUUUGUGGACAACACCUGACCACUUGACCUCAAAUCAGGUAGGACUACCCGCUGAACUUAAGCAUAUC